rnacentral:tRNA from 1 species
AUCUUUUUAGUAUUCAUGUACAUUUGACUUCCAAUCAAAAAGUAAAUAAAGAUA